GCCGAGGUGGUGGAACUGGCAGACACGAGGGACUUAAAAUCCCUUGAGCGAAAGCUCGUGUGGGUUCGAUCCCCACCCUCGGCA
rnacentral:tRNA from 1 species